ensembl:misc_RNA Metazoa_SRP Metazoan signal recognition particle RNA
GCUGGGCAUAGUGGCGUGUGCCUGUAGUCCCAGCUACUUGGGAGGCUGAGGCAGAAGAAUCGCUUGAACCCAGGAGGUGGAGGUUUGCAGUGAGUCGAGGUCGUGCCACUGCACUCCAGCCUGGGUGACAGAGUGAGACUCUGCCAA